rnacentral:rRNA from 1 species
AGUGAACGCUGGCGGUAGGCCUAACACAUGCAAGUCGAACGGCAGCACAGUAAGAGCUUGCUCUUACGGGUGGCGAGUGGCGGACGGGUGAGGAAUACAUCGGAAUCUACUUUUUCGUGGGGGAUAACGUAGGGAAACUUACGCUAAUACCGCAUACGACCUACGGGUGGAAGCAGGGGAUCUUCGGACCUUGCGCGAUUGAAUGAGCCGAUGUCGGAUUAGCUAGUUGGCGGGGUAAAGGCCCACCAAGGCGACGAUCCGUAGCUGGUCUGAGAGGAUGAUCAGCCACACUGGAACUGAGACACGGUCCAGACUCCGACGGGAGGCAGCAGUGGGGAAUAUUGGACAAUGGGCGCAAGCCUGAUCCAGCCAUACCGCGUGGGUGAAGAAGGCCUUCGGGUUGUAAAGCCCUUUUGUUGGGAAAGAAAAGCAGCAGGUUAAUACCCCGCUGUUCUGACGGUACCCAAAGAAUAAGCACCGGCUAACUUCGU